rnacentral:snRNA from 1 species
GUGUUCGCUUCGGCAGCACAUAUACGAAAACUGGAAUGAUACAGAGAAGAUUAGCAUGGCCCCUGUGCAAGGAUGACAUGUAAAUUCGUGAAGCACGGUCAU